rnacentral:snRNA from 1 species
AGCCAGAGGAAACUCUGGUGGAAGC